UACCUGGUUAACACAACCAAAAUUCCUGGCAGCUCUACACAUCAAAUGCAUUUGUAGAGAAGAGCAUAUAGAGGGAAUUGUGAGUAAGCCAGAUUAAUGCACCAGAAAAAGUAGAAACUGCACCAGAAAAAGUAGAAACUGCACCAGAAAAAGUAGAAACUGUACCAAGAACAGGAAGGACGGAUUGGCACCAGUGAAUUCAAACAAUAACCAGGUCUCAAGCAGUAGCCACCUCCAGUCUGAUACAAAGGAUUACUCCCUCCCCAGUGCCAGCUGGAGCCCCAUCAUGGUGAGGCUCUACAAUGAGUUCAUGGAGAAGACUGUGGAUGGGUCAUGGACAAGACUUCCAGGUUGUUGGUGCUCUGUGCAAUUCCUUAAAGAAGCAGACCUUACUAAGAUUGCUAAAGCUGUCCCUGCCAUCUUCUUACAAAUGAAGUGACGCAGAUGCAAGGUGCUGCAAGGCCCACCUCCUCCUGCUCUGACAGGCAGACAGGAAACCAAAG
rnacentral:lncRNA from 1 species